rnacentral:lncRNA from 1 species
GAUACUCCUGAGAGAGGCAAGAGGAAUCUAACAUUCGACUAAGAAACAGGAAGCGGGUGGCAGUAGGCCCUGGGGUACCGCUGCUGGGAGGGGCCUUCCAGAUUAAGGCGGACCCAGGCCCGAGGCAACAGGCCUAGAGAGGGAAAAGAGGCGUUUUGCUCCUUCCUGGAGGAAUAAUGCUGAAUCCUUGCAGCCUCUGGACAGAUGUGAGAAGGCACCACCUCAAGAGGGGAGGAGCGGGGCUGAUCCUGGUCGGGCGGACCUGAGUCGGGCAGCCGCUCUCCCGGAACUGGAAGGGAAAGCCAGGCGGCUCUCAGGGGCUGUUGGUGUCUGAGCCGGGAGGGUCGAACGCCCAGGGCACUGCGCCCCGCAACUGACGCUCCUGCAAGGAAAAGCUCUGGGUGCGUAUGCGGCUUGUCACCUCCUGGGUGCGCAGCGUGAGCCCGAAAAUGUCUUCGUGGUAGCGUUGCUGAUCCUGUCGGAAAAGAGCACAGUGGAUCAGAACCCGACUCGGAGACCUUAGCAGGAACCCCGCACGCUCAGGCCCGGCCCGCCCCUCCGCACCCGCAGCACGCCGAUGACGUCGCCGGCCUCGUCCAGCUCCAUGUCGCCCUCCGUCGCCAGGAUGCGCUGCACGGUCUGCAGGACGUUGGUUGCCAUGGUAACAUCGCCGCAGACAAACAUGUGGCCCCGCUCGAGGCACAGCACGCGGUGCACCUCCGCAGCCAGCUCCGUCCUCAGGAUGUCCUGCACGUUACCAUUGCGCCCUCAGGGUCUCACACCUUGGGGUUGUCAGGUUCCCGGGAGAAGGCGGUGAGGACUCGGCCAAACACCCCGCGCUGCUGGGCGUUCUGCACCUCGUCGCGGUAGAGAUGGUCAAGUUGGGAGCAUCGGCAGCCGAACACCAAAGUCAUGGGAGUGGGCUGCAGCCCUGCAAGCAACCCCGCGCUUGGGAAGGCUCUUCUCCGGGGCACAGUGCUAGUGGGGCCUCCCCACAGGCCACCGUCGCCCAGCCUGGCAGCCCAGCGUUUUGGGCUGAAACCACCAUUACUUUGGCUGUUUCAUCUCUAAGAGAGUGUAGAAUGCUUUCACAGAGACCCUGCACAGCCCUGAUUUACAGAGGGAAGGGAAGCGCGGCCGCUCCUGCCAGAAUCCCCGGAAGGGGGCAAUGCCAGUGCCUGGACCCACCAGGAUGCAGGGCAAGCUGGGAUCGGGUGGCAGCCGGAAGGAGGGAGCCCUGGCAGGAGAGACACUCCAUCAGGUCCCCUUUGCCUUUCCUGCUCCACCAUUCUCACCAUGCAGGGUGGGUGGAGCAAGGAGGACCCAAG